UAAAAAAUGUAUUUCUUAAUCAGUUUCUCCCAGGAACAAUCAUUCUUCAUACUAGCUAGCUCUCGAUACAUCAAAGCAUUAAAUUCCUCAACUGAAGCGCAUCCCCUCUGAAAUCACCAGGGCAGGCAAGCAUCCAAUGUGCAGCAAGGGACCUGCACACUUUUAACUCACAUUAAAGGCAGACAGAAAGUUUCACACGCUGCAUAUGGCUCUAUUUAUUGGCGAGUAGCACAAGGAGAAGAAACAUUUGGCACCUAGGUCCCUCCCUCCAGGGAUCUCCAUGCUUGAAUGAAUCCACGAGGAGGCGGUGUGCAGUGGAAUGAUAUGGACAGAGAGGGUGUUCAUGGUGGGGACUGAUAAAGGUAGAGGAGCAGCUGUCUCCUGGGGUAUUGCAGAGACCAAGCCCACAGGGAGGAGUGAAUGCCCAGCUGGCUGACAGGUGUCAAUGUGGGGCACUGGUUAUGAUACCACUGGGUACAUCUGAGGGGAAGGCUUCAUUAGGGACUCAGUAUGCAGAGAGCAUCAUCUCAGAGCGUGAUGGUGUUUGCAUUUUGAACAGAGAAGAUGUGAUGCAGACAAGGGAGAAAGGAAAAAUUUAAAAUUUCUCUCCUUUUACUAAUCCAACAUCUGCUUGUCUGUCUUUGUCUGUCUGUCUGUCCCUCAGCCUUCAUCUCCUUCAUUCUCUCACAAACAUCCCUCCUCACCCUCCUCCAACCUUCCUUUUUCCCGGAUGGCACAAGAGCUUGCAGGCUUUGAUGAGAGGUUUGAGCUAAAAUGUCACAGGGAUUAAGGGGUUUUGCCUCCUGCACCCCACCGGAUAAGUCCUGCUCGCCCUCUGUGCCUGAGAUUCCUCCUCCCCAAACAGGUGUGGAGUGACAUUUCUUUCUGCUCCGCUGUGCCCUAUUGAAUUUCCUUCCAGGGAAAUAACAUUCCUCCAUGUUUAGAGAUGAGUAAGGAGGGAAACGGGAGAUGGGGAGAGGUGAAGUGAAGGGAUGAGGAGAAGUGAGGAGAAAAGAGGAGUGGAGAUGAAGAAAGAUAAAUUGAGGGGAGUGUGAAUCGAGGGGGAGGAAGCAAUACUUGAGGGAGAGGGAAGAAAUGGGAAAAUUUGUUUUCUACAUUUUGGUUAAAUGGGGAUAUUCGUCUGUAUUAGCUUGGUACAGUAGUCCAUACUGUAUAUUCCUGUAAAUGCAUGCAAACCAGACAUUUAUAGUACAAAUGCAAAGUAAUGGUAAUUUUAUUUAAAAAGUAGUUCUAAGUUUGAAAAGUUGACUUCAAUCUUUUCUACAUUCAGCCCCCGCCCAGCAUCCCACACACACAUAGCAAAGACAGACACUUGGACUUAUCUGCAGCUGUUUCCUCCAAAUAGGUUAGACAGAUUUGAAAAUUAGAUGUCUCCAGAGAUGUGCAGUUCAGACGGUGCGCUUAACAUCACAUAGCUACAGCUGCUGCCAUAUUGAACAGCAUUCUGCAGUGUUUUCUCUGGCUGGGUCUACAAAAAGUUAGAGUAACAACCCCUCUUGCACGCAUUAGUCCACCUUAACCUUUGCCCUGCAGAUCUGUACCUACUGGAAUUUGUCCACUCGUCUUGUCAGUGUUGUUGUGCAUUGCUCUAGGGAAUUACACAGUACGACACAUCCCCAUCUGAACAGGUGAAGUGUCUAAACACAGCAACAGUAAAACAUAGCUCUGCUGCCAGUGUUAUAUUAGCUGUAAACAUGUAAAACUAUGGCUUAGUUAGUGUGUAAGUAAGUGUUUGUUCUGAAGAUACUGUCACAAGGAAGUGCACAAUAUCAAAAGACAUCAAAUGUAUGAUUUUUGUUGACAAUCUUCUGGCCUCUUUCUCAAAGCACAGAUUGUAUUGAUUAUGAAGACACUGAAGAAGCUCAAACAA